UACGAAGGGGGCUAGCGUUGCUCGGAAUGACUGGGCGUAAAGGGCGCGUAGGCGGCGGUCACAGUCAGAUGUGAAAUUCCUGGGCUUAACCUGGGGGCUGCAUUUGAUACGUGGUUGCUUGAGUGGGGAAGAGGGUCGUGGAAUUCCCAGUGUAGAGGUGAAAUUCGUAGAUAUUCGCAAGAACACCAGUGGCGAAGGCGGCUCACUGGCCCGAUACUGACGCUGAGGUGCGAAAGCGUGGGGAGCAAACAGG
rnacentral:rRNA from 1 species